ACUCAAAUGAAUUGACGGGGACCCGCACAAGCGGUGGAGCGUGUUGUUUAAUUCGACGGUAAGCGAAGAACCUUACCAAGGUUUGACAUCCCGAUCGCCGAUUUCCGAAAGGAAAUCUUCAUUUAGUUGGAUCGGUGACAGGUGAUGCAUGGCCGUCGUCAGCUCGUGUCGUGAGAUGUUUGGUUAAGUCCAUCAACGAGCGCAACCCUUAUAGUUAGUUGAAUUUCUCUAGCUAGACUGCCCCGGUAACGGGGAGGAAGGAGGGGAUGAUGUCAGGUCCGUAUUUCCCUUACACCUUGGGCUACAAACACGCUACAAUGGCCGGUACAAAGGGCUGCCAAGCAGCAAUGCGGAGCAAAUCCCAUCAAAGCCGGUCUCAGUUCGGAUUGUCGGCUGAAACUCGCCGGCAUGAAGCUGGAAUCGCUAGUAACGGUAGGUCAGCGCACUACCGUGAAUACGUUCUCGGGUCUUGUACACACCGCCCGU
rnacentral:rRNA from 1 species